UACGUAGGGGGCUAGCGUUGUCCGGAUUUAUUGGGCGUAAAGAGCGUGUAGGCGGCCUGACAAGUCUGCUGUGAAAACUCGAGGCUCAACCUCGAGAUGUCGGCGGAAACUGUCUGGCUAGAGUCCGGAAGAGGAGAGUGGAAUUCCUGGUGUAGCGGUGAAAUGCGCAGAUAUCAGGAGGAACACCGGUGGCGAAGGCGGGAUCCUGGGCCAGUACUGACGCUGAUGAGCGAAAGCGUGGGGAGCAAACAGG
rnacentral:rRNA from 1 species